rnacentral:rRNA from 1 species
UACGUAGGGUGCGAGCGUUGUCCGGAAUUAUUGGGCGUAAAGAGCUUGUAGGCGGUCUGUCGCGUCUGCUGUGAAAAUCCGGGGCUCAACCCCGGACUUGCAGUGGGUACGGGCAGACUAGAGUGUGGUAGGGGAGACUGGAAUUCCUGGUGUAGCGGUGAAAUGCGCAGAUAUCAGGAGGAACACCGGUGGCGAAGGCGCUCAUCUGGCCCGAUACUGACGCUGAGGCACGAAAGCGUGGGGAGCAAACAGG